CUUAGUCUUGGCUGUUCUGGUAUCAUCCCAUGUGUCCACAUUCUAAUCGCUCAUGGUAUUACAAUAGCUUUGAGACAGGCGUCCCUUGGUUGGCUAAUAUUGAUGGGCAUACUCUAUGUUACUGGAGCCGUCCUAUACGCAACUAGGAUUCCAGAACGUUUUUUCCCAGGAAAAUGCAACAUUGUGGUAAGUUUUGUAGCCAACUUUUUCAAAUGGCACAUGACACGAAUUUGAUGUCAUUGUAAUUACACAUUAUAAAGGUCCACACAGACCGGACGCGAUUCGGCAACGCGAA
rnacentral:lncRNA from 1 species